AGGACGAACGCUGGCGGCGUGCUUAACACAUGCAAGUCGAACGAGGCCCUACCUUCGGGUAGGUGACCUAGUGGCGAACGGGUGAGUAACACGUGGGCAACCUACCCUCAGCUCUGGGAUAACCCCGGGAAACCGGAGCUAAUACCGGAUAUGACCUUGAACGACAUCGUUCUUGGUGGAAAGUUUUUCGGCUGAGGAUGGGCCCGCGGCCUAUCAGCUUGUUGGCGGGGUAAUGGCCCACCAAGGCGACGACGGGUAGCCGGCCUGAGAGGGCGAUCGGCCACACUGGGACUGAGACACGGCCCAGACUCCUACGGGAGGCAGCAGUGGGGAAUAUUGCGCAAUGGGCGAAAGCCUGACGCAGCGACGCCGCGUGAGGGAUGAAGGCCUUCGGGUUGUAACCUCUUUCAGCAGGGACGAAGCGAAGUGACGGUACCUGCAGAAGAAGCACCGGCCAACUACGCGCCAGCAGCCGC
rnacentral:rRNA from 1 species